GUCUACAGCCAUACCACCCUGAAUGCGCCUGAUCUUGUCUGAUCUCAGAAGCUAAGCAGGAUCGGGUCUAGUUAGUACUUGGAUGGGAGACUGUCUGGGAACACCAGGUGCUGUAGGCU
ensembl:rRNA 5S_rRNA 5S ribosomal RNA